rnacentral:rRNA from 1 species
CUACGGGUCGCUCCAGUGAGGAAUAUUGCACAAUGGGGGAAACUCUGAUGCAGCAACGCCGCGUGGAGGAUGACGCAUUUCGGUGUGUAAACUCCUUUUAUCAGAGAAGAAAAUGACGGUAUCUGAUGAAUAAGCUCCGGCUAGCUCCGUGCCAGCAGCCGCGGUAAUACGGAGGGAGCAAGCGUUAUUCGGAAUCACUGGGCGUAAAGGACGCGUAGGCGGGUUUUUAAGUCAGGUGUGAAAUCCUAUGGCUCAACCAUAGAACUGCACUUGAAACUGGGGACCUAGAGUAUGGAAGGGGCAGGUGGAAUUAGUGGUGUAGGGGUAAAAUCCGUAGAUAUCACUAGGAAUACCGAAAGCGAAGGCGACCUGCUGGGACAUUACUGACGCUGAGGCGUGAAAGCGUGGGGAGCAAACAGGAUUAGAUACCCGGGUAGUC